rnacentral:rRNA from 1 species
UGGGGAAUAUUGGACAAUGGGCGAAAGCCUGAUCCAGCCAUGCCGCGUGUGUGAAGAAGGUCUUAGGAUCGUAAAGCACUUUAAGUUGGGAGGAAGGGCAGUAAAUUAAUACUUUGCUGUUUUGACGUUACCGACAGAAUAAGCACCGGCUAACUCUGUGCCAGCAGCCGCGGUAAUACAGAGGGUGCAAGCGUUAAUCGGAAUUACUGGGCGUAAAGCGCGCGUAGGUGGUUUGUUAAGUUGGAUGUGAAAUCCCCGGGCUCAACCUGGGAACUGCAUUCAAAACUGACAAGCUAGAGUAUGGUAGAGGGUGGUGGAAUUUCCUGUGUAGCGGUGAAAUGCGUAGAUAUAGGAAGGAACACCAGUGGCGAAGGCGACCACCUGGACUGAUACUGACACUGAGGUGCGAAAGCGUGGGGAGCAAACAGGAUUAGAUACCCCAGUAGUCCCUGAGCGGGCUGGCAAGGCGCAU